UACCGGCAUUCCAACGCCGGCGCGGGCUACUGAAAAGGCUUGUCCUUCAUUGCCAGGUGAGCGGGCGGGAAAAUUCCCAACCAAUCCACGGCAGCACAAACUGGUCUGAGUUCUUAGGCUCUGUCGCGUCUCCAUCGUGCGGCAUCGCCAAAGCGCUCAC
rfam:Bradyrhizobium sp. BR 10245 contig50, whole genome shotgun sequence.